UACAGAGGGUGCGAGCGUUGUCCGGAAUUAUUGGGCGUAAAGAGCGUGUAGGCGGCCAGGUAGGUCUGCUGUGAAAACUCGAGGCUUAACCUCGAGCUGUCGGCGGAAACCAUCUGGCUAGAGUCCGGAAGAGGAGAAUGGAAUUCCCGGUGUAGCGGUGAAAUGCGCAGAUAUCGGGAAGAACACCCGUGGCGAAGGCGGUUCUCUGGGACGGUACUGACGCUGAGACGCGAAAGCGUGGGGAGCGAACAGG
rnacentral:rRNA from 1 species